UACAGAGGUCCCAAGCGUUGUUCGGAUUCACUGGGCGUAAAGGGUGCGUAGGUGGUUAGGUAAGUCCGAUGUGAAAUCUCCAGGCUCAACCUGGAAAUGGCAUUGGAUACUAUCUAGCUUGAGGAGUGGAGGGGGGGACUGGAAUUCUCGGUGUAGCAGUGAAAUGCGUAGAUAUCGAGAGGAACACCAGUGGCGAAGGCGAGUCCCUGGACACUUCCUGACACUGAGGCACGAAAGCUAGGGGAGCAAACAGG
rnacentral:rRNA from 1 species